rnacentral:rRNA from 1 species
GGAAUCUUCGGCAAUGGACGAAAGUCUGACCGAGCAACGCCGCGUGAGUGAAGAAGGUUUUCGGAUCGUAAAACUCUGUUGUUAGAGAAGAACAAGGGUGAGAGUAACUGUUCAUACGUUGACGGUAUUUAACCAGAAAGUCACGGCUAACUACGCGCCAG